GGCCAUACUUGUGUUUCAAUGUGAGUAUAAUUUUUGGGGCUUUUGAAAUUGAAAUUUGCUCUACGUGUUGAAAGCAGUCAAUACCCCGACUAUAGGAGGGUAUAAAAAAUAUAUGCAAACCAGCGGAAGGUUCUCACCGAAAGAUAAAAUAUUUGAACAUGAUCUUUCAAGAUGAACAGGUUUGUUGCAAAAGUGCAGAAAAGAUUGCAAGAACUCAUUCCAUCGAUACCGACAAACAAACUUUCACCUUCACACUCUGGAAAGAGGCUAUUAUUGAGGACGAAGGCAGGAAACUCCUUAGCCAAUUCCAAGAACGUCCUAUCAUCUUUGCCAGGAGUAUUGGGGUAUCCAAGUACAAUGGUAUAUCGUUGACAACAAGAUUUAACACAACAAUACAAACUGAUCCACCUUAUUCCCAAUGCCUACAACUGCACACAUGGGUCAUGGAAAAUAGAGAAAUGCUUGCUUCUUUCAGUCUGAGGAGCACAUCUGAAUCUGGAUCUCUUAUCAGGGUUUCAGUAGAUGAAUAAAUUGUGCCAAUUGCAAAUGUUCAAUGACAACAGGAUGGGCAUUCCUUCUCCAUUGAGGCAAAAGUAUCACUUCCAAAUAAACUCAAAAGUUGCUAUGUUUUACUAUGUCCCAACUGCAAACAAGAAGUGAGAAGUUUAAUAAAAAGAAAGUUUCAGUGUAUGACUUGUAAGCAACAAAAUAUGUUGAUUCCCAGGUGCCGAUUUGAUGUGAAUCUCCAAGAUGCCUUCGGCUCAACAAUUGGGAUAAUUAUAGACAAAGAAGCAAAAAAAUUAUUAUCCCUUACCACAGAAGAGAUUUACAACCUUGCUUCAACCGAGGAUGAGUUGCUACCAAUGCAGAAUAUUCAAAGCAGUCGGAAUCAGAACUUUUAUAUAAUUCAAGUGAAAAAAUCAUUCUCCCACACUUCUCAAGCAACAUUUGGAAAAUUGUACAUUUUUUCCUGCACUGAAAAAGGAAACAUGGUACAUUCUCUCCCUGAACCACCAAAAACUGACAUUGAAGAAGGCGGCAAAAGGAAAAAGAAACAUUUGAUUUCCCUCGAUGAAGAAACAAAAGUACCAAACGAGCGACGUCACUCGCUCAAGCUGAAACAAAAACUGGAGCCAACAACUCCAGUUAAAAUGAAAUAAAGGGUAACCAACUUUCUUUUGCAAUCACUUUUGGCUUUUGCAGAACAGUUCUUUUGCAGGGAAAUCAAUUCCAUUUUGCAGCUUGCUUUUGACUUUUUGUCUUACAACUAGAUAUUCCGACGACAUUUACAUCCAUCAAACAAAGGUAUCUGGUUUCAUUUUCCUUAUUGCUUGCCAGUAGAUUGGUGCCUAUCUUCUAAAAUAGGUUCUUUAUAUGCGUACCACAGCCGACAUGCUUUGAGGAAGAAUGCAGGGAAAUAGACAAGAAAAUUCUACAAAGGUUUAUCGGGAUACUGUGCAACCAAUUAUUCCUAUUAUCUUUCAGUUAAUACCCAGAUGCAAUUUCCACAGCCGACAACAACUGGUUGAAUCCAGAUUGUACCCUCUUACACCAAGAACAUCAAGAAUUUCACAACUUUUCUCUUUCUAGCAAGCUUGGCAAUGUAAUAAUAUAACUUUGUUCCGCACAAUAUGAAGCAUAUUAUGUUAUGAGUAAUAUUUAACUUGA